rnacentral:rRNA from 1 species
UACGGAGGGGGCUAGCGUUAUUCGGAAUUACUGGGCGUAAAGCGUGCGUAGGUGGUUCGUUAAGUCUGAUGUGAAAGCCCUGGGCUCAACCUGGGAAUGGCAUUGGAAACUGGCGACCUAGAGUGCGGUAGAGGGCAGUGGAAUUCCCGGUGUAGCAGUGAAAUGCGUAGAGAUCGGGAGGAACAUCUGUGGCGAAGGCGACUGCCUGGACCAGCACUGACACUGAGGCACGAAAGCGUGGGGAGCAAACAGG